AAAUGUUGGAGCUUCUCAAAAGUCUCUUUACCUCACUUCUUAGCUUUCCUGGUAUGUCAUAAGGAAUUAAUUUGCUCCUCUAGCUUAAGAAUAAAGUCAUAUCCUCCUUAGGAUCUUAAGAUGAUGCUUUCUAUGGUGUCUGGCCCAAAUGUUGAUGGCUUCUUUGAAAAGAAAUUAUCUCAGCUUCUCAUUGCAAAGAACAAUCACACAGUAUAAGAAUAUAGGAAUAUCUGAAGUCUUUUCACAAUAAAAGCAGAUACUGAAACUGCUGGGAAUGUCACUAUAAGCUUCAGACUUUUCCACCCACAUUAGGUCCAGUCAGUGCUAGUACAGAAGAGCCCUUCGCUCUGUUUUUACUAUCCCUUUUGAUUUCAGCCUUAGAGGCAAGGAGGGAAUUACCACUAAAACUCUAGAGCCUGCUAAUGAGACUGUCUUCACCCCCUUAAUGGAACUUCAGUGAAGACUGCUAUUUCCCAGAAACUGAAUUAUUUUUGAGUAAAAUAAUUCUCUUUUAAUCUCAUUGUGUAUUGCCUUACCUUGCUUUGCCUUGUAAGGAAACUUCUCUAUUUGCCUCCUUCCAGGGUUCAGAGGUAACAGGACAUAGGUGCUCACAGCUGGUUUCUAGGUGAAACACCCUCCUAAAUGCACCCUUUUUGUUGUAGGGUAUAAAUUACUGUGGUGAGCAGCUUUUUAAAGCAACAGAAUAUUUGAAGAUGGAAACGUAUUGGUUUGGUUCUAUUGGGGUUUUUAAAUAUGUUCAGGUCAAUAUGCUGCUCCAGCAUCCCAUGCAUGAGGUGGUGUGCAGCUGGAGCACAGCCAUGCUGAGUGAAGGAGACCCAUCAGAUCAGCUCUGCUCUUCUUUAAUGUGGAUGCAGUAUCAUCAAUGACAUGGAUGUCCAUUCC
rnacentral:lncRNA from 1 species